rnacentral:misc_RNA from 1 species
UACUGGUCCACAUUUUGGCCAUCCCGUUAACAAGAUCAACAAGUCUUGGAUACAGCUGCUUGUCACGUAUAUCAUUGACUUCUGAAACAGUAGAGUCCAUGGACUGCAUGUCAACUAUAUACCUCGUAUGCAGAUGACUUACAGCUGCUUUCGUUUUUUCCAAGGAUUCAGCACUGGCACCGUGCUUCUUCUGCCUAUUUAACUGAGCAACUUUCUUCCUAUACUCAAGCUUCAUAAGCUCGCCUUGCUUUACUUCAUCAUAGAGUUUGUUUUCCCAUGCUAACAACUUAUCCAACACGGUGGCAAGAGUCUCAUAAUCUUCAGAAUCAAGUUCAUUCUUGCCACCUUCACCAUUAGGUACACCUCUGAAUGACCUAUUCCACGUGAUGACACGCAUAACUCUAGCAGAAUGAUCAACAUAUCCUCUAUUGUCUGCAAAAUUGGAGUGGUAAUGCAAGCGAGUGGCCUCGAGCAUCUUUGAAACCUCCUGUGCGCUCUCCGAUGCCUUCAGGAAAUGAUCAUCAAUCUCGCCCAAAACCUGCAUUAAAUUCACAGUAGGAACCGGAAAAACCUUCUUCCCAGCCACUUUAAAAUCAGGAGAUGCUGUUUUCGAAUGCUCAAUCUGUUUCUCCGUCUUAGACUCCUUCUCCUCCUCCUCCUCCGCCACGGUAGCCAAGUGUUCAGUCGGUUUCUCCGGCGUCUUCGGCUCAACCCCACUGAUUUCACCACC